AACUGGGGACAAGGCACAGGCUCAGAUGUGACAAAUGGGUAACGAUGACUUCUGGGUUCUAAAGUGCCUCACUAUCCAGUGGAGGAAAAGACAGUCCACGGUCCUCCCUACAAUGAAAGAUGCUGUUUUUAAAUAGGAAAACAAAAUGACAAGUCAGCCCCUGGAACUUCAGAACCAUGGCAAACCUAGGGCAGAGCCAGAGACCACCAGCUCACUGAGAAGGAGGAUGUCAGACGGCCUGCCUCGGGGAGCAGGAGAAACCCCUAUCCCUGAAAAGACUUUGGGUGAAGACACCAGCUGUGUCCAAGGAUACUGGUUUCAUGCCGAGAAAAGGAUCAAGGAGAGAUAACUGCUGAAGAAAUGAAACUUCGUAUGGAAAAUAUCAAGCAAACAGUGAAUGGAAAGGUGACUUUUCCAUCUUUAUUUCAGCCCUGAGAUGCUCUGUGCAUUGAAUUAAAAAUAAUAAUUUCUUCCAACAUUAAUGCCUAAGUGACCUCCUCCUGAAGGAAAAAAGGGCACUAAGAGUUCUACUUUUUAACACUAGACUUGAAAUACUUUACCCUUAAAUUCAAAGCACAUGUGACUCAAAGGAAUUCAAUGAUUUCUUUGCUCUGGGCUUUCUUUAGAUACCAAACUCCUUGACAUUUUUGCCUGUGGACACACAGAUAUGAAUUUAGGUAAAGAAAAUUUGUAUCUGAGAUCUGCUGAAAUUUAAGUUGAUUGAAAACUUUGAGAAUAAACUUUGGACUGACAUAUUUUAUCCAUUUCAAAUCAUAUCUCUUUAUCAUUCAGACGGUUGGUAUCAAAAAUAUUUUCAACUGCGAAGAUGGUCUAACCACUUGUGACUCUGUAAGAUCUCCUUUGACUCCCAGGUUUUGAUAAGGCACUUCACUGGAAGAACAGAACUUCAGUACAGCUGAGCCAUGAAGGAUUUCCUUUUCAGACAAGCCAAGGCGUGGAGGAAUAUUAUCAAAAAGUCUGAACCCCAAACAUUUCCAGUGCACACAAUCACCACAAGGAGAGUAGUUUUAACUUUUGUUAAACUGAAGAUGCGUACAUAAAACAGGAACUUACGAUCUUCAUUGUUAAGUUCAGCUACAUCCUGUCAAGAUUUUCAUUAAGUUCAGUUACA